GAUGAACGCUGGCGGCGUGCCUAAUACAUGCAAGUCGAGCGAACAGACGAGGAGCUUGCUUCUCUGACGUUAGCGGCGGACGGGUGAGUAACACGUGGAUAACCUACCUAUAAGACUGGGAUAACUUCGGGAAACCGGAGCUAAUACCGGAUAAUAUAUUGAACCGCAUGGUUCAAUAGUGAAAGACGGUUUUGCUGUCACUUAUAGAUGGAUCCGCGCCGCAUUAGCUAGUUGGUAGGGUAACGGCUUACCAAGGCGACGAUGCGUAGCCGACCUGAGAGGGUGAUCGGCCACACUGGAGCUGAGACACGGUCCAGACUCCUACGGGAGGCAGCAGUAGGGAAUCUUCCGCAAUGGGCGAAAGCCUGACGGAGCAACGCCGCGUGAGUGAUGACGGUCUUCGGAUCGUAAAACUCUGUUAUUAGGGAAGAACAAAUGUGUAAGUAACUAUGCACGUCUUGACGGUACCUAAUCAGAAAGCCACGGCUAACUACGUG
rnacentral:rRNA from 1 species